rnacentral:lncRNA from 1 species
ACACCACACACACCACACACACACAACACACACACACACCAGUGGAUAUAUGGGAGACAGGUUAAAGUCAUACUAUCCUUUUUUUCCCCUUCUCUGUUUCUGUAACGUGUGAUGAAUCUCAGCCCGCCCCGCUGUCUUCCCUGUCUUCUCCUUUAUCAGCCCCCGGAACAUAUUGUCUUUCCCUGUCUUCUCCUUUAUCAGCCCCCGGAACAUAUUGUCUUUCCCUGUCUUCUCCUUUAUCAGCCCCCGCGAAAUAUUUUUUCCUGUUUCUCCUUUAUCAGCCCCUGGAAAUAUUGUCUUUCCCUGUCUUCUCCUUUAUCAGCCCCCGGAACAUAUUGUCUUUCCCUGUCUUCUCCUUUAUCAGCCCCGGAACAUAUUGUCUUUCCCUGUCUUCUCCUUAUCAGCCCCCGGAACAUUGUCUUUCCCGUCUUCUCCUUUAUCAGCCCCGGACAUAUUGUCUUUCCCUGUCUUCUCUUUAUCAGCCCCCGGAAAAUAUUGUCUUUCCUGUCUUCUCCUUUAUCAGCCCCCGGAAAAUAAUGUUUUUCCUGUCUUCUCCUUUAUCAGCCCCCUGGAAGAUAUGUCUUUCCCUGUUUCUCCUUAUCACCCCCGGAACAUAUUGUCUUUCCCUGUCUUCUCCUUUAUCACUCCCCGGAAAUAUUGUCUUUCCCUGUCUCUCCUAUCAGCCCCGGAAAAUAAUGUUUUUCCUGUCGCGGCUGUGAAGGUGGAUGUGGUUGUUAAGAAUUAAAUUUCACUAGGAACAGGCUUCAUUAUCUUUUGUAUGUGUGUCUCCACGUGCGUGGGCGCGUGGGGGAGAGGCUUUGAACACUACCCCAAUUUGUAGCCAGCACCACACCCACACACACCACACACACACACACACACACACCUCCUCCCUCCGUUCUGUUUCCAUGCUAGGCAUUGCCUGGCAGGAGAGGUCGACAACAUGUUUUCUGCAGUGUGUGGUGUGGAAUGCAUUCAGCCCCAGUCCCCAGGCUCUGAAUGACAACCAGCCAGCCAGCCCAGCCCAGCCCCUCCCAGCCAGCCAGGCCAGCCCCUCCCAGCCAGCCAGCCUA